rnacentral:rRNA from 1 species
CGGGGAAUCGGGGUUCGAUUCCGGAGAGGGAGCCUGAGAAAUAGCUACCACAUCCAAGGAAGGCAGCAGGCGCGCAAAUUACCCACUCCCGAAACGGGGAGGUAGUGACGAUAAAUAACGAUGCGGGACUCAAUCGAGGCCCCGUAAUUGGAAUGAGUACACUUUAAAUCCUUUAACGAGGAUCAAUUGGAGGGCAAGUCUGGUGCCAGCAGCCGCGGUAAUUCCAGCUCCAAUAGCGUAUAUUAAAGUUGUUGCAGUUAAAAAGCUCGUAGUUGGAUCUCAGGAUUUGGAUGGAUGGUUCGCUUUCGGGCGCUACUAUCUGUCUGACCUACUCUAGUCGUGGAUGCCUUGGGUGCCCUUAAUUGAGUGCUUUUGGUGCCCGACGCAAUUACUUUGAAAAAAUUAGAGUGCUCAAAGCAGGCGUAUUGCCUGAAUAGUGUUGCAUGGAAUAAUGAAAUAGGAGUUUACUUCUAUUUUGUUGGUUUUCGGAGGUGAACUAAUGAUUAACAGGGACAGACGGGGGCAUUUGUAUGGAGGGGUUAGAGGUGAAAUUCUUGGAUCCUCUCCGGACAAACUACUGCGAAAGCAUUUGCCAGGAAUGUUUUCACUAAUCAAGAACGAAAGUCAGAGGUUCGAAGACGAUCAGAUACCGUCCUAGUUCUGACCAUAAAUGAUGCCAUCUAACAAUCCACGAAGUUUGCUUGUACGAACUCGUGGGCGGUCCCCGGGAAACCAAAGAUUUUGGGUUCCGGGGGAAGUAUGGUUGCAAAGCUGAAACUUAAAGGAAUUGACGGAAGGGCACCACCAGGAGUGGAGCCUGCGGCUUAAUUUGACCCAACACGGGAAACCUCACCCGGCCCGGACACUUUUAGGAUUGACAGAUUGAAGGCUCUUUCUUGAUCAAGUGGUUGGUGGUGCAUGGCCGUUCUUAGUUGGUGGAGCGAUUUGUCUGGUUAAUUCCGAUAACGAACGAGACUCUACUCUGCUAAAUAGAACGUUGAUAUAUAAAAGUCAGUGCUGACUUCUUAGAGAGACUAACGGCGUUUAGCCGUGUGAGAAAGAGCAAUAACAGGUCUGUGAUGCCCUUAGAUGUCCGGGGCCGCACGCGCGCUACACUGACUGCAGCAACUAGUAUGCUCCUGGUUUGAAAAAACUGGGUAACCUGGUUGAAUUGCAGGCGUGACAGGGAUCAGAGUUUGCAAUUAUCCUCUGUGAACGAGGAAUUCCCAGUAAGCGCAAGUCAUUAGCUUGUGCUGAUUACGUCCCUGCCCUUUGUACACACCGCCCGUCGCUACUACCGAUUGAAUGGUUUAGUGAGGUCUUCGGAUUGGUGCUGAUGGAGUGGUUCUCUGCUCUGUUAGUGCCGAGAAGAUGAUCAAACUUGAUCAUUUAGAGGAAGUAAAAGUCGUAACAAGGUU